CCGCCCAAGAAGCGAAAGUGACGGUAGGCGCAGAAGAAGCACCGGCUAACUACGUGCCAGCAGCCGCGGUAAUACGUAGGGUGCGAGCGUUGUCCGGAAUUAUUGGGCGUAAAGAGCUCGUAGGCGGUUUGUCGCGUCGGCUGUGAAAACCUGGGGCUUAACCCCGGGCGUGGAGUCGAUACGGGCAGACUUGAGUUCGGCAGGGGAGACUGGAAUUCCUGGUGUAGCGGUGAAAUGCGCAGAUAUCAGGAGGAACACCGGUGGCGAAGGCGGGUCUCUGGGCCGAUACUGACGCUGAGGAGCGAAAGCGUGGGGAGCGAACAGGAUUAGAUACCCUGGUAGUCCACGCCGUAAACGGUGGGCGCUAGGUGUGGGGGAUUUCCACGUCCUCCGUGCCGUAGCUAACGCAUUAAGCGCCCCGCCUGGGGAGUACGGCCGCAAGGCUAAAACUCAAAGGAAUUGACGGGGGCCCGCACAAGCGGCGGAGCAUGUGGAUUAAUUGGU
rnacentral:rRNA from 1 species